GACGAACGCUGGCGGCGUGCCUAAUACAUGCAAGUCGAACGCAGUGGGGACGGGUGAGUAACACGUGGGUAACCUCCCAUCAGAGGGGAUAACACUUGGAAACAGGUGCUAAACCGAUACUGAUGGAUGGACCCGCGGUGCAUUAGCUAGUUGGUGGGGUAACGGCUCACCAAGGCCACGAUGCAUAGCCGACCUGAGAGGAUGACCGGCCACACUGGAACUGAGACACGGCCCAGACUCCUACGGGAGGCAGCAGUGGGGAAUAUUGGGCAAUGGACGAAAGCCUGACGGAGCAACGCCGCGUGAGUGAAGAAGGUUUUCGGGUCGUAAAACACUGUUGUUGGAGAAGCGGUACCUAAACAGAAAGCAACGGCUAACUACGUGCCAGCAGCCGCGGUAAUAC
rnacentral:rRNA from 1 species